rnacentral:rRNA from 1 species
GAUCAUGGCUCAGGAUGAACGCUAGCUACAGGCUUAACACAUGCAAGUCGAGGGGAAACGACAUCGAAAGCUUGCUUUUGAUGGGCGUCGACCGGCGCACGGGUGAGUAACGCGUAUCCAACCUGCCCACCACUUGGGGAUAACCUUGCGAAAGUAAGACUAAUACCCAAUGACAUCCCACGAAGACAUCUGAAAGAGAUUAAAGAUUCAUCGGUGAUGGAUGGGGAUGCGU